rnacentral:rRNA from 1 species
UCGGGAAUUUUGUGCAAUGGGCGAAAGCCUGACACAGCAACGCCGCGUGAAGGAUGAAGUCCCUCGGGAUGUAAACUUCGUAAGAAUAGGAAGAAUAAAUGACGGUACUAUUUGUAAGGUCCGGCUAACUACGUGCCAGCAGCCGCGGUAAUACGUAGGGACCAAGCGUUGUUCGGAUUUACUGGGCGUAAAGGGCGCGUAGGCGGUGUGUCAAGUCAGUUGUGAAAUCUCCGAGCUUAACUCGGAACGGUCAACUGAUACUGUCACACUAGAGUACAGAAGGGGCAAUCGGAAUUCUUGGUGUAGCGGUGAAAUGCGUAGAUAUCAAGAGGAACACCUGAGGCGAAGGCGGCUCACUGGACGCGUAUUGACGCUGAGGUACGAAAGCGUGGGGAGCAAACAGGAUUAGAUACCCCUGUAGUCCCUGAGCGGGCUGGCAAGGCGCAU